AGAGGAGAUAGAUGUCCCAGGUAAGAGAGGAGAUAGAUGUCCCAGGUAAGAGAGGAGAGGAGAUAGAUGUCCCAGGUAAGAGAGGAGAUAGAUGUCCCAGGUAAGAGAGGAGAUAGAUGUCCCAGGUAAGAGAGGAGAUAGAUGUCCCAGGUAAGAGAGGAGAUAGAUGUCCCAGGUAAGAGAGGAGAUAGAUGUCCCAGGUAAGAGAGGAGAUAGAUGUCCCAGGUAAGAGAGGAGAUAGAUGUCCCAGGUAAGAGAGGAGAUAGAUGUCCCAGGUAAGAGAGGAGAUAGAUGUCCCAGGUAAGAGAGGAGAUAGAUGUUCCAGGUAAGAGAGGAGAGGAGAUAGAUGUCCCAGGUAGGAGAGGAG